UACGGAGGGUGCAAGCGUUGUCCGGAAUCACUGGGCGUAAAGGGCGCGUAGGCGGCCCGGUAAGUAGGGGGUGAAAUCCUGCGGCUUAACCGCAGGGCUGCCUUCUAAACUGUCGGGCUCGAGCACGGUAGAGGCAGAUGGAAUUCCCGGUGUAGCGGUGGAAUGCGUAGAGAUCGGGAAGAACAUCAGUGGCGAAGGCGGGUCUCUGGGCAGUAACUGACGCUGAGGAGCGAAAGCGUGGGGAGCGAACAGG
rnacentral:rRNA from 1 species